GUAGGGAAUAUUGGACAAUGGGGGGAACCCUGAUCCAGCCAUGCCGCGUGGAGGACGACUGCCCUCUGGGUUGUAAACUCCUUUUAUAUGGGAAGAACCGUCCUCAUUAAUGAGUGACCUGACGGUACCAUAGGCAUAAGCACCGGCUAACUCCGUGCCAGCAGCCGCGGUAAUACGGCGAGUGCAAGCGUUAUCCGGAUUCACUGGGUUCAAAUGGUGCGUAGGCGGAUAAAUAAGUCAGUGGGGAAAUCAACGGGCUCAACCUGUUAACUGCCAUUGAUGCGGUGUAUCUUGAAUAUGAGAGAGGUAGGCGGAAUGUUGCAUGGAGCGGUGAAAUGCUUAGAUAGGGUACGGAACACCGAUUGAGAAGGCAGCUCACUAAGCAAAUAGGGACGCUGAGGCACGAAAGCGUGGGGAUCAAACAGGAUUAGAAACCCGGGGAGUCC
rnacentral:rRNA from 1 species